rnacentral:siRNA from 1 species
AGACUUAUUUACAAUGGCUGCCA